rnacentral:rRNA from 1 species
UACGUAGGGUGCAAGCGUUAAUCGGAAUUACUGGGCGUAAAGCGUGCGCAGGCGGUUCGCUGAGUCAGAUGUGAAAUCCCCGGGCUUAACCUGGGAACUGCGCUUGUGACUGCAAGACUCGAGUACGGCAGAGGGGGGUGGAAUUCCACGUGUAGCAGUGAAAUGCGUAGAGAUGUGGAGGAACACCGAUGGCGAAGGCAGCCCCCUGGGUCGAUACUGACGCUCAUGCACGAAAGCGUGGGGAGCAAACAGG